CAUCCUCAGGGUCUAACGUGCAGGUGGCAGGACCCUGGCCCUUCCUGAGUAUCUGGUUGUGGGUUUUGUCUCCGCAGCGUGCAGGGAUGGGUGCAGACUCCGUCCAAGGUCUUGGCAAGAAGAGAAACUGCCACCGCAGAGGGGCUGGCUGAGGGGCUGGGAUGGGGACUCCGGGACGCGGAGCCGUACACCAGCCCCUUCCACCCAGGCAGAAGGUCCAUUGCGCUCUGCCCCACAGAGCCUGUUCCUAUGCCAGCCAGGGCACUCCCAGGCCCGUCUGCAGCCAGAACACAGCCGGUUCCGUGUGCUUGUCCUCAGGACCCAUUAGGAAUGAAUCCAGGCCUCGGUCCUGGCCUCCUCGCUGAGGCUGGACGCUCAGGCAUCCCCUUCAGCCCCUUUCUCUAGACCUUCCUGCUGAACAAACGAAAACAUCUCACAGCCCUGCAACAGCCAGGAGCUGCUGGUGGAGCUCCAUGCCCGGCCGCAGAGAGAGGAGGCGCCUGGGCAGCCCGCCAGCACCCGGGCUCCCACAGCGGAAGCGGCUUCUUCGGCUCUAUUUGGAAAGCUGUUCUUUCCGCAGUGCCUUUGACAAGAAUCGAUUUGAGUGAGCCAGCGUGUCAAUACAGGCUAGCACAGGACUGGCCUCAGGGCCACAUUGGGGCGAAAUGCAUGGCAAAAGCAUGGCCAGGCAAGAGGUGGGACCUGUGAGGUUGGCUACAGCGACCGUGGGCACUGGGUUCGCGGCUCCUCAGCCCUGAGAGGGGACCCAGGCCCAGGCGGGCUCCCAGCCUCCAGAUCUUCUCCCCUUGAGACCUCGCCUUCUGCACAGCGACAGCAAAGAGCCCCUGAGUCCCACUCUGCAGGGAUGUACUGCAUUUCCAGAAAGUUCCUUCCGGGUGCAGAGUGACACGUGAGCCCUGGGGACUCGCUCCGACUUGGUACUGAUUUUCUCCACGGAGGACCCGCAGUCACGGCCCGUGUCUGCACAGCCCCUCGGAUCCCGCGGAGGAAUUCAGCCGGCCCCUCCCCCGUGCGGUUCCCUGCUGUUCAAUCCGAAAACCAUGGAGGCAAAGUCGGGCCGGGUUCAGGCUCCAUGCAAAGUGCCCUUUGCAAGGUCCCCCUGUGGCCAAGCCCAGCUCCAUGAGGGUACAGUGAGAACACGGGAGAGGACUUAGAGACUGCCUGCCACCACCGAGGGAGGCGGAGCGGGAUUCGCACCCCCGUCAUCGCUGGGCCCACACGCCGCCGACGGCUUCCGCGUGUGGCCAUCUGUCUCUCAGAAACCCUCUGGCAGAGGGACCCAGCAGAUGACUCGGGGGCUGUUCACACUCUGAAACCUGCUUGGAGUCAAAACACUGCUGGCGAGCCUCCGCGGCAAACCCAACCCAGACAGUCUUCCAUGGUGGCCCCCGCAGUGGCGGGCACUCUGCCCACUCCCUGCCAGCCCCUGCCCGCUGGCCUCCAGGCCCGGCCAGGCCCCUGACCGGUCUCCUGACCCAGCAUGCUGCUCCCCCUUGGGCCUGGCUUCCUUGCCGGCUGGGAUUCCCAGGCCUCUCUAGCCCAGCCCUGCAGCAGGAGCCCCGAGGGAGGCUUGGCAGCUGCAGAGGUGAGUGGGCCACGCGUAGCCCGGAGGCCAGCAGGACCAGGAGCCCCUCACAGCGCAGCAGCCACAGCAUCACAAGCCACUUCCACUCCUGGGCGACCUGGGGGCCCCCAUCCCGGUCUGAGCUGCCCCUUAUUGUGACCUGGGGCCCCCUGUGGUGGGCUCCCCUGGUGCCCCCAGAUCCAGCCUCAGGGAGGUUCCAGAUGCCGGCCAGGCCUCAGCGCCUCCACCCAGGAUCAUACAUUCCUAUCUCGGCGCUUCCGCCCUCCA